rnacentral:rRNA from 1 species
AUUGAACGCUGGCGGCAGGCCUAACACAUGCAAGUCGAGCGGAUGAGGGGAGCUUGCUCCUGGAUUCAGCGGCGGACGGGUGAGUAAUGCCUAGGAAUCUGCCUGGUAGUGGGGGAUAACGUCCGGAAACGGGCGCUAAUACCGCAUACGUCCUGAGGGAGAAAGUGGGGGAUCUUCGGACCUCACGCUAUCAGAUGAGCCUAGGUCGGAUUAGCUAGUUGGUGGGGUAAAGGCCUACCAAGGCGACGAUCCGUAACUGGUCUGAGAGGAUGAUCAGUCACACUGGAACUGGGACACGGUCCAGACUCCUACGGGAGGCAGCAGUGGGGAAUAUUGGACAAUGGGCGAAAGCCUGAUCCAGCCAUGCCGCGUGUGUGAAGAAGGUCUUCGGAUUGUAAAGCACUUUAAGUUGGGAGGAAGGGCAGUAAGUUAAUACCUUGCUGUUUUGACGUUACCAACAGAAUAAGCACCGGCUAACUUCGUG